AGUAUUGUUCUACAUGAACGAUAAAAUACUAGUAACCAGAAGUUCGAUCAAGGUAUUUUUUAUUUAUAUAUCACAAAAUUUAAGCAGGUAGAAUAUUGCUUGAACAAAUUUUGAAAAUCAAAAUAAUCAAACUACAACCAAAGAGUCUGUUCUGAAUGUCAUGGCAUAUGUAAAUAUUUGUGAAAUUAUUUUGUUUGAAUAGCAUUGUCAAAUAUUUAUCAUUGUUACUAUGUAAAAGAAAGAGUUUGUUGAAAUAUCAUUACUGUAAUUUUUGUCCCUUUUAUUUAGUAGGUAUUUGCACGGAGAAAAAACUAUUUAAUUGGUCUAUGCACCCUAUACUUAAGAAAUUUUUAACCGAGUUAUUAUUAGUUUAUGGCGUUAGCUUAUUGGCUACCAAUGUGAUAAAUAACUGUUGUAAACAAUUUUUGGGUUGAUCCUUUGUAUAUAUAUAUAAAUAACUUCGACUGUCUUUCUGUAUGAAGGGCUAUAUAGUGUUUAUUUACAUUUUAUGAUAUAUCAUUGUUUUUGGAAUGAAAUUUUUGUUUUGUUUAUUUUCAGUAUUUCAUUCAUUAUUUUAACAAUGGUAUUUUUACAUAGUUUUUAUAAAAAUUUUAGCUGAAUAGGUAAAAAAAAAAACCCUUAAAUUUUUGGUCCUGCAUCCUGCCAA
rnacentral:misc_RNA from 1 species